UACGAAGGGUGCAAGCGUUAUUCGGAAUCACUGGGCGUAAAGGGUGCGUAGACGGUAUGUUAAGUUUGUUGUUAAAGGCUCCGGCCUAACUGGAGUAUUGCGAUGAAAACUGGCAUACUAGAGGGUGAGAGAGAGAAGUGGAAUUCCCGGGAGUAGCGGUAAAAUGCGUGGAUCUCGGGAGGAACACCAAUGGCGAAGGCAGCUUCUUGGCUCAUUCCUGACGUUGAGGCACGAAAGCGUGGGGAGCAAACAGGG
rnacentral:rRNA from 1 species